UUGAAUCCCAACAACAGCCAUUGAAAUGUUUUACUUAAGAGUUGAAGAAAGCAAGAGUCAGAGAGGUAAAGUGAUCUGCCUAAGAUCACACCACAAAUAGUUGGGAACACCGGGAACGGGUCACCUGGUGUAUCUAACUUCAGAGUGAUCGCCUUUUAAUUAUCAAGUACUGUAGCUUGCAGAGAUCAAAGUCUGUGGCGUUUUCAUCCGACUAGCCCAUCGAUCCCAGCAUCGGAGCUAGGAGGGGGUAGUGUUAUUAUUCCCAUUUUCCAGAUGGCAAAACCGAGGCCUUAGGAAGGGGGCGCCGAUUGCCCAAAGUCACACAGCUAACAAGUGGCAGAGGCAGGAUUUGAGGCUGCUUCGGAUCCUCUCUGGGGUUUUCGCCCCACGCCCAGACCUCGGGUCGGUUUCUGCAGAAGCCACAUCCGGUUUUCACUUCAGCCUGGCGGCGCCUGCCGGUAGUGACUUCACCAGAGACGGUGUGAGCACCUGGCAGGGCGGGCGCGGAGGGAGGGAGAGGGUCAGCCCGGGGGCCAGGCGGGAUGACCGCCAGCAGUCCUUCAAGCUUCAGUGUCCUCCCACCUCAGCAUUCCCUUCACGUCCCCGUCCUCAUUUCUCCAGCUCCCGCAUUUGCCAACUUCUUUUUGCCCCUGAAAGGAAUUUUUACAGACUUCGCGCAGAGUCAGAAGGGGAGUCCGGGGGAACCCGUGGUUGCACCUCCGCCACCAUUGGUUGUAGCGCUAUGAGACUCGAUUUGCAUAUCGUGUUCGAUUGGCUCAAGCGACCGGAGUGGGCGGGCUCAAGCAAAUCUACCUGUCAGAGGGUGGAGCACGCAGAGCUUCCGGGCUGGAGAAGGGGGAAGGGCCACCUGGCAGCGGUGAAUGAGGCCGGGCGUCCUACUGAUGGACCCGAGGCAGGAACCCGUCCACACCCCACACAGCCGCUUCGCAAGCGCGGCCUGGUGCAAACGCGCAUUUGCUGGGACAACACAAAUUGUGUGAAGGUAAAAAGACCAAAAACUCUAAGAACACUGUUUUGGACACCGCCAUGGAUAAAGCACCUGUCACAGCACCCAGCAUCUACUGGUUUGCAAUGAGGACUGUUAUUGGAGCUUAACUAAUCAGGCAGCACACGUGGAAUUGCUAGUGACCCUGGUUGACCAGACCUCUGUGCCAAACUGAUGCUAGGAACAGAACUGCUGGAUUAGUCGUCGUCGUCCUCCUCCUCCUUCUAGUCCUAGAGGACCCCAUCUAGCCCUGACCUCUCUGGUACAUGGCUCUCAGGCCAGCCUCCAAACAACCACCACCAUCUCCAGGCUUAAAAAAAAAAAACAACAAAAAAAAACAGUAAAAGUAAAAACUUUUGUCCAAACCAAAUUCUGCCCACGGAUGUUCAUAGCAGCUUUCUUCAUAAUUGCCAAAAGUUGGAAGCAACCAAGAUGUCUUUUUUAAGAAAAAAAAAAAAAUUUUUUUUUUACAUGUAUUCAUUUUUGAGAGACAGAGCACAAGCGGGGAAGGGGCAAAGAGAGGGGGAGACACAGAAUCCGAAGCAGGCUCCAGGCUCUGAGCGGUCAGCACAGAGCCCCACGCGGGGCUCAAACUCACGGACCGUGAGAUCAUGACCUGAGCCGAAGUCGGACGCUUAACCGACCGAGCCACCCAGGCGCCCCCCAACCAGAAGUUCUUUGAAUCUCAUCCUCUUGGGGUUUUGUGGAGGCUUCAUUACAAAGGCGCAAUUGAUUACAUCAUGAGCCAUUAGCCAUCCAUUCAACCUCAAGAGCUCUUCACCUCCCUGGAGGUGGGGGGUGGGGGGUGGGGUAGGACGAAAAUUUCCAAACCUCUCUGCUCUCAGUGGGUUCCACUGGCUACAAGCCCCCGUCCUUAGGUGCUUUCCAAAAGUCACCUCAUUAACGUAACAAAAGACACUUCUGUUGCUGUCAACACUUUGCAAACACCAAGGGUUUUAGGAGCUCUGAGCUGGGAACCUUGACCGAGAUCAAACACGAGAAACACAUUUUGUAGUCUGGUUGCCCAUGUGUAUAUUACAACGUAUGUGUGUAUAAAUAACAAUAUCACACCCACUCUGUUGGGAGAUGUUAGCGACGGGGAGACUGUGCGUCUACGGGCGCAGGGGAUAUAGGAGAAAUCUCUCCAAGUUUUCUGUGAACCUAAAACGGCUCUAAAAAAUAAAGGUUUUUUUAAAGAUGCUGAAGAAGCGUUG
rnacentral:lncRNA from 1 species